UUUAUAAGAGCGGCAGAUCCUCGGUACUGGUUUGGCACAAGACUUCCCGAGCAGGACAUGUAAACCACAAAAUUUAGCGAGUAUCCAGGCUUUGCUUCUUGUGAGAUUAAUCGAAGAUGAUGGUCUUAAAAUGGUUUUACCACAAGAAAGCUUCUCCUACAAGGAUUAUACCUGUUGUCCUCCCCCCCGAGGCCUCACACUGCCAGUCUGAGGAGUAAAAUGAUAGAUCCUGAAGCUUUACCACAGAUCAUGGGGAGACAAGACAGACUCGUGAGGUCAUCCUCACCUGAUGAAGGGUCUUGAGAUGGCGAGGACGGUGCGGAUGAACCACGUGGGUUGCCCAAACUGCUCUGAUCUGCCUUACUUCCUGUCGAUCAUCUGGUAGCAUCUCUUCAGCCAGCUGAUGCCGGGCAUCUUCCUGCGAGGAGUGGCUCCGUUCAGGUACGGCCUGAUGACCUGCAUGUCGAUCCUCUGCUCCUGGUCGCCGAUGAUCACCGUUCUCCACAGACGACCCGACGAGUCUCUCUCUUCCUCGCUGUCGCCUGGAAGACGUUUGGCCGUGGCCACCGGCGUGUCGUCUGGAUUCAAGGGUGACGCAAGAAAGUUGUUGCUCGUUGCCGUUGUUGAUGAACUCCAGCGAGUCGGUGUCAUCGGGGGUCUCGAUGUCUUCCACGUUGAUGUCCAGGUCGUCGGGCGUUUCCAGGUAACUGUCAGAGAGCACGGAGCCCUCGCUCUGAUCCAGGGACAGGUUCAUGUCGGGGGCCACCAGGGUGCGACGCUUAUGCUGCGCCACGCUCUCGCCCACAUUCAGAGAGGCGGGGGGGUCUGGAAACAACAGAACAGGAGAGUUUAGAUACAAAGUGAAGUAGCAAUUUGGAAGGAAUAUCAUAUUCAAUGCUGUGUGUUAAGUUACAUUUUCUGUUGUCGGUGAGGCCACAUGAAGAAUCAACAUCUCCAUCUUCUGGUAGAGGCCUGCAGGGAGAAACAGGUGAAGGACAAUAACAACAGACAUUUUUUUCCUGCUGCUUAGUCAAAGGUUACUUUAGCCUUACUGAUUACAAGUAUUUUACACUGUAAUAAAAGAGGGCUAAAAUAAACUCUACAUUUCUCUCGACA